AUUAAUGACAAUAUCUGCACAUGGAGUUGCCGUUCAGUAAUCUGGAAGUUGCUUUCAUAUUGUUGGCCUUUACUAUUUUCUCCAUAUUUUCUCUGGCUUCUGUCUACAGUGAACCUGAACAAGCACGUGCUGAAGACAAGCACAGCAUACCAGAGGGCAGCAUUAAUGGCACCAGAUCCAAGAAGAAAAAGAAAAGCAGCUUAGCCAGCGCUGACAUUGCUGAAGUAAUUUAGGUUUGUGAUAUAUCACAGAAAGAGGGCAGUUUCCCUAAUGCCUGCUUCUCAGAGCUGAUAUGAGAACUGAUCACCUGGAGUCAGGCACAUGAAGGAUGAGCUGAAGUAGAUGCUUCCCCUUGAUCAGCAAACAAGUCAUGGAGACACGAAAAUAAUAGGGGUUGACAGACUGCAUCCCAGACAAGUGUCUUCGGCACCUUUUCAUUCUUGGGCCUCUUGACCUUCUAAUAAAGCACUGCCUGGUUUCUACCAAACAAAGGAAGCCAGGCUCAAUCUGUGUCAUGAUUUACAGGAAUUUAACAAAUGAAUUUGCAAUAAUCAUUUUUCAAGUCAUGAAUGGCGUAAACCACAGUGUUUUUGACCUUGUGUCAAGCUAUAAGAUCAUUGACAUAUUACACAAAAGAAUCUCUUGUUCCAAAGAAAUCAUCUUAAAUUCCCUUAAAAAGAAGUCACCAGAUCUACUGCAGAAUAAUUGUUUUUUUAUACAUAUAACAUCUUUGCCUAAUAACUUGCUCCAAAAUUAUAGAGCAACAGUGACAUCCCAAACUCAUGCAUCAGUGCAUAGAGUAUAACUAUAAACCCAGUUGGGAAUAUUACACUCACAAAUGGGCCAUGUAUCCUCAUCCAGUUAGUCAAGGGGCCCUAAGUGUUAAAAUUAUAAAUAAAAACGAUUUUAUAUAACAUUUAAGCAGAUGCACUUUUGAAUAAUGAAGAAAACUGGACAAUGCACAAUUAAUUUAAAAUAAAUGUAACACUUUAAGUGCCAGUUGGAAGUUUAUUGGCCCGUGAUUGGGGCCUACUUACUGGUCUACAUGACCAAUAUCUGGACAAAAUUGACUAGAUAUCUAUAAGGCACAUGUCAAAAUUCCAAUGGUUAGGCACCAUAUUGGUGCACUGAUGUGGUCCUCAGAUGACAGGUCUUUAUAGGCUCUGCUAUAUGAUUCAUUCAUUGGCCCCAGAAAAAGAUGGGCCUGACCAGGUUUCUGCACCCUGUGUUUGGUGAGUGGGAUCCACCUCUUCAGAGAAAAUGCUGAGUAUGCCAUUGGCCUAAGGCACAUGAAGAUUAGUAGCUGCUACUUGUAGCUUGGUUUCAUUGCUUUCUGUAGGACUAUUAGGCCCAUGUUAGGAAACAGUUUAUACAUAAAAUGUUAUACUUUCCCCACUACUACAAUAUAUUCCUUUAAUAUAUUACUUCCCCCCUUUUGUCUAUUUAAUUGCAGUUAUUCAUUAUUGACAAACAAAAAUUCUUUUGCCCAGCUCAGUUACUGCCCCAUUUCGUCCUACCAAGACAAGUCUUACAUUGUUCUUUUUAACCAAUUGUAGUCAGUAUUUAAACAUACUUUACUUAGGAGUAUUUGGGAUAAACCAAGGACCCCCUAAAGAAGGUCACAGGGUGACAUGUAGCUUGCAGAAGAGGAAAGAUUGGAAUAAUAACGAAAACAUUUGUGACAGUUUUAUUUAUAUGCUGUAACGAUAUACUCUGGAAUUAUUUAUUUUUGUGCAAAUUGUUAAAAUAACUUUUUCCUAUGUAGUGUAAUUUCUAUGGCCUAAUAAAAUAUUUCAAAUGAUCUGCCAA